rnacentral:rRNA from 1 species
UCAUCCCUACGGGACGCAGCAGUGAGGAAUAUUGGUCAGUGGGCGGGAGCCUGAACCAGCCAAGCCGCGUGAGGGAAGAAGGUACAGCGUAUCGUAAACCUCUUUUGUCAGGGAACAAAGGCGGGGACUAGUCCCCGGAUGAGGGUACCUGAAGAAAAAGCAUCGGCUAAAUCCGUGCCAGCAGCCGCGGUAAUACGGAGGAUGCGAGCGUUAUCCGGGUUUAUUGGGUUUAAUGGGUGCGCAGGCGGCCUGUU